GCCGAGGCGGCCAUCCUGCUUGGCCAGCUGAAGGACCAGGUGCCACCUCCUCUGGGAAGCUUUCCCUGCCCGUCCACAGGGUAUGCCUCCUUGUUCCUCUCCUGCCAUCGGUUUACGUGCCUGUCUCCAUCAACAGACCAGGAGCUCCUGAGGACAGGGACUGAGUCUGCCUGAUUCAUCUCUGCAUUCCUAGCACUUACCUUGGUGCUUAGUGAAAGCUCGAACCUGCCUGGGUUCCCACCUUGUCUCUGCUACCCCCAGCUCUGUGAACUCAGAGUCAUUUUUCUCUCCCCGAGUGGCACCGGGCUCAGCAGACACUCUGGCCAUGAAGGCAUCUUCUGACUCAAGCAGGUCUAGAUGUCUACCCCCAAG
rnacentral:lncRNA from 1 species